UACCACUUUGUGGUUCAUGACUGGGGUGAAGUCGUAACAAGGUAGCGCUAGGGGAACCUGGCGCUGGAUCACCUCCUUAUACGAUGAU
rnacentral:rRNA from 1 species